AAAGAGAGAAGAAGCUUGUACAAGGUUCCUGAAUAUACUGCUUGAAGAAGAUCUCUGCUAGUCGUGUCUCCCUUGCUGGUCGAGGUUGGGCAUGACAACUGGUGGCCCAUAUGGGAAACGAACAACAAAUCCACCGUAAAGGAAACCAACUCUCUCCGAGAUCAUAACUUCUUGAAGUCAGGGCAGAGCGAGUAAUGAGGUCUGUUCAGAGGUGGCAAGCAGCUAUGGUGAUAGAGGCAUUUGCAGCCACUGAAGCAGGACAAUCCCCUCAAGCCUGGUUUGCGGUCAUUCAGAAAACCUAGUUGCACCUUGCCCCUGAGUAUGUGUGAGUGAUCCUACCCAGUGACGGGCAACUUCCCUUCUACCUAAGGGUGGUGCCAUCCCAAGCUGUUGCUCCUGUGUUCUAUGUGAAAGCAAGAUCAUCAAUCCAUGUUGAGAAAGACAACAAACACCCCCUUUCCAUGGUAUCUCUGCACAGCAAUAAAAGGUUAAAAAAAUGGAGUGUUAUUUUAUUCAAUAUUUGAAACUGGUACUAAAUAAGGAUGUUCCAAUAAAAGUAUGGAUAGAUACACUAAUAGUAGUUUAAUAAAAUAAAAAUUUCAAAAUAGAAUAUAUUACUUCAAUAAAGUACUUACCUAAGCAAUUAAGGGAAGCUGAAAAAUUUGUUGUGCACAGAUCAAAUGAAGAUCAUCUUCUAUAACCAGUGUAAGAUAUAAGGAUUUACCAAUUUACAUGUACUAGUAGCAGUGAAUAUAUUUCAGAAUAUAUUUUGGUUAUAUGCAUUUUAUUCUGGGUUGGCUUGUCACCAACUUACAAUUAUCCAACAGUGUUACUUGUUUGUUUUUGCCUUAUAUUUUUAAAUGUAAAUGAGUUGAAAGGGGUUAAACAAAUACUUGUGUGUAUUUGAAGCAAAAAAGAAGUUGUUUUCUAGAAAUUGAUCACUGUGGUAUCUUAGCAGCCACUGAGCAGACUUUCACUCCUCUUCUGUCUUAUGUUCUGUAACUACAAUUUUUCUUUUGCUUCAUUUAGAAAUUACUAUUCAAUAGUUGAAAAAUGUCCAGACAAUGUGCACCCAAGUAAUUUCUUUCACUUGUUUCAAUCACAGAUUGAGUAUGAUAAUAAUAAAAUUACUUUUAUGUUUUGUGCCAUAAUUAAUCAUCCUGAAAUUUAAAUAAUGAAGGACAGUACUAUUAUGAAAUUACAUACUGCUGUUUCCAGCAGUAUUUGAGGAUAAGAAAGUGAAUACCAGUUUAUGAAUCUACAUUGUUAUUAUUAGAAUUAUUUUUGAAUUCUAAGGAAGUAAUUCUUUUAGAUGAUGAAUGAGGUUUGUAACAAAAAAGAAUAUUCAGGAAAGAACUUAGUUUUACCACAGGACUGUUAAUCUAGUGUGCUCUUUCUCCCUUUUUUCUCUCAAACUCCUUGUUUCUAGCUAUUAUAUUCAAAAUCCUGUUUAGAAAAUAGUGC